AAGGUAGCAUAAUCAAUAGUCUCUUAAUUGGAGGCUGGGAUGAAGGGCUGGAUGAAGCAUGAGCUGUCUCCGUNGUGAUAAGAGAAAAUUUAAUUAGUUAGUUAAAAAGCUGACAUGAAAUUAAGGGACGAGAAGACCCUAUAGAUCUUUAUAGGUAUAUUUUAGNGUAUUUAGGUGAAUAAAGACUUAAGAAAACAUUUAUUUUGUUGGGGCGACAAGGAAAUCAGACAACUUUCUUAUAAUUGGACACUGAUGUGUGGUUAAGNNAGAGCCAAAAUUUUUGAUUAAAAGAUUAAGUUACCUUAGGGAUAACAGCAUAAUCUUUUCUGAGAGUUCAAAUCGAGGAAGAGGGUUGUGACCUCGAUGUUGGAU
rnacentral:rRNA from 1 species